GACGCCAGGAGGGAAGGGCCCUCAGUCAGCUUGGCACAGCACCUGCUUGAACAGCCAAUUAUCUCCCUGCCUCAUCUCCAUCACUGUGCUUCCUCAAACUUCAGAGAGCUGUGGCCCGAACCCGCCCUCGGGGGUGCCAGGUCCUCUCUACCCCUCCUUCAUUUCUCUAAAUCCCAAGACUGGAGAUGCACACUUUCAAUCUGUGGAUAGUUCCAGUUUCAAAUGCAUGUUUCUUAUAGGCUGAAAAGUACUUUCAACCGAAAAGACACCCUUUUUACUUCCAGAAGAACCAGGAGGGGUACUCACCAGCUGCUGUCCCGCAGCAGGGAGGGACCCACCAGGCGGAGGAAAAGAUGGUGGCGAUCACCUCCUCGGGGAAGAGAGUGACAUUCCUCUGGAUCUGCAGCAGGUUGAGCACCAGGGCUAGGACCACCCCAACCGAGAAGAGCACGAGGCUCCUCUGCAACAGGCGAUGAUGCCAGGUGUUGGGGUAGGGGCUGCCGGGCUCGGGGCCGCUCAUCGCAGCACUGCGGCCCCUGGGCGCGGGGUCAGCGUCCGGGGCACCGUGGGCCGCCAGCAGGGAGGGCCCGGACACGGAAACGUUGAUCAUCUCCCCAACCUUGGCCGCCAGCCCCGCGGCGCUGGCUCGCGGGGGGCCUCGGCGCCUCGCGCUGUGCGCACAGGAGCAGCUCCAGAAGUGGUCGUGCAAUCUGGGCAUCGGUCACACGCGUCCAAGAGGCGCUUCCUGGAAGAAGGGGGUCAUCAAGUUCACUCAGAAGAGACAAAGAGCGAGGAAGGCCCCGCGGGACGCGAACCCCGGCACCCGGGCCAGGCGGCAGCGCCGCCCCCCAAGGGAGUGUGGGUGUGGCAGCAACCCAGCAUCUACCAUGCCGACCAUGUGCCAUGCCAUGCACCGCGUGUCGUAACAGGACAACAGAGCAAGAGACCCAGCAGACAGGGGUCCCCAGCAACCUCAUGAAGCGCCAUCCACUCACCUCCAGACAGUCUGGGGAGAGAGACUGAAACUUCUGUCUAAGCCACUUCAUCUUUGAUCUCCUUGUUUUUGUGGUUCAGGUUGUAUCUUAAUAAAUAAAACGUGUUUGAGUUCAUGUUUACA
rnacentral:lncRNA from 1 species